CAGAUUUUUAGCAGACUCUUUUUUGCAAGGCUGGACUGGAAAGGCAGGUAGGCAAGCUAUUCAAAAUGCACUGGGCACUGUGCAUACUACUGCACCAUCUGUUGGGGGAAAAUGAAGAGGAACAGAUACAUUGCCCUACACCUUGAUAAGCACCUGCAACACGUGCAUGUGCGGGCUGCUGGAGGAGUGCACUGGAGGAGCUUUCAUUCUUACCACUGUGUGGGUGGGCGAGGAAGAACAGGUGUGAGCAUUUGCCAACAGAGGCACCCAUAGAGCCCCCAGGUGUUCAUGCUCCUGCUUAAUGUCAGGGCCAAGGAGAGGCCUUUUGGGAUUUUCUUUUGCCUAACAUCUUGGAAAAGAAUCUUCAUCUUCAAAGUAGAGAUCCUAAUAUCUGCCCUGACUACAUCUCAAAGUUUUUAACAAGAUCCAGCGAGAUCCAGCAUAUGCUACUAUGAAAACUGAAAAACGCUCAACCAA